rnacentral:rRNA from 1 species
AUACGUAGGGGGCGAGCGUUGUCCGGAAUGAUUGGGCGUAAAGGGCGCGUAGGCGGCCUGUUAAGUCUGGAGUGAAAGUCCUGUUUUCAAGAUGGGAAUUGCUUUGGAUACUGAUGGGCUUGAGUGCAGGAGAGGUUAUCGGAAUUCCCGGUGUAGCGGUGAAAUGCGUAGAGAUCGGGAGGAACACCAGUGGCGAAGGCGGGUAACUGGACUGCAACUGACGCUGAGGCGCGAAAGUGUGGGGAGCAAACAGGAUUAGAUACCCUGGUAGUCCACACUGUAAACGAUGAAUGCUAGGUGUAAGAGGUAUCGACCCCUUCUGUGCCGCAGUAAACACAGUAAGCAUUCCGCCUGGGGAGUACGGUCGCAAGAUUAAAACUCAAAGGAAUUGACGGGG